ACGUAGGGGACGAGCGUUAUCCGGAUUUACUGGGCGUAAAGCGCGCGCAGGUGGUCGAGCAAGUUGGCCGUGAAAGCUCCCGGCUUAACUGGGAGAGGUCGGUCAAAACUACUCGGCUAGAGGAUGGAACAGGAGCGUAGAAUUCCCGGUGUAGUGGUGGAAUGCGUAGAUAUCGGGAGGAACACCAGUGGCGAAAGCGAUUUUCUGGAUCGUUUCUGACGCUCAGACGCGAAAGCUAGGGUAGCAAACGG
rnacentral:rRNA from 1 species